rnacentral:tRNA from 1 species
UUCUGGUUAGUUCAGUCGGUAGAGUGCUCCACUGGAAAUGGAGAGGUCCCUGGUUCGACACCAGAACAAGGCA